GUUAAGUUGCAGGGUAUAGACCCGAAACCCGGUGAUCUAGCCAUGGGCAGGUUGAAGGUUGGGUAACACUAACUGGAGGACCGAACCGACUAAUGUUGAAAAAUUAGCGGAUGACCUGUGGCUGGGGGUGAAAGGCCAAUCAAACCGGGAGAUAGCUGGUUCUCCCCGAAAGCUAUUUAGGUAGCGCCUCGUGAAUUCAUCUCCGGGGGUAGAGCACUGUUUCGGCUAGGGGGCCAUCCCGGCUUACCAACCCGAUGCAAACUGCGAAUACCGGAGAAUGUUAUCACGGGAGACACACGGCGGGUGCUAACGUCCGUCGUGAAGAGGGAAACAACCCAGACCGCCAGCUAAGGUCCCAAAGUCAUGGUUAAGUGGGAAACGAUGUGGGAAGGCCCAGACAGCCAGGAUGUUGGCUUAGAAGCAGCCAUCAUUUAAAGAAAGCGUAAUAGCUCACUGGUCGAGUCGGCCUGCGCGGAAGAUGUAACGGGGCUAAACCAUGCACCGAAGCUGCGGCAGCGAACGUAUCACCCAAGACAACUUUACGGAGUUGACGAUUGACGGAGCGAAGCGACGUCAAAGCGUUCAUUAAAGUCGAGUUGGCUUAGGGAUACGUUCGUUGGGUAGGGGAGCGUUCUGUAAGCCUGUGAAGGUGUGUCGUGAGGCAUGCUGGAGGUAUCAGAAGUGCGAA
rnacentral:rRNA from 1 species